rnacentral:rRNA from 1 species
GGCAGGCCUAACACAUGCAAGUCGAGCGGUAACAGGAAGGAGCUUGCUUCUUUGCUGACGAGCGGCGGACGGGUGAGUAAUGCCUGGGAAUAUGCCUUAGUGUGGGGGAUAACUAUUGGAAACGAUAGCUAAUACCGCAUAACGUCUACGGACCAAAGAGGGGGACCUUCGGGCCUCUCGCGCUAAGAUUAGCCCAGGUGGGAUUAGCUAGUUGGUGGGGUAAAGGCUCACCAAGGCAACGAUCCCUAGCUGGUCUGAGAGGAUGAUCAGCCACACUGGAACUGAGACACGGUCCAGACUCCUACGGGAGGCAGCAGUGGGGAAUAUUGCACAAUGGGGGAAACCCUGAUGCAGCCAUGCCGCGUGUAUGAAGAAGGCCUUCGGGUUGUAAAGUACUUUCAGUCGUGAGGAAGACGUAGUAGUUAAUAGUUGUAAUGUUUGACGUUAGCGACAGAGACGCCCCGGCUAACUCCGUGCCAGCAGCCGCGGUAAUAC